UCUGGCAGCAGUUAGUGCUCUUAUGUUUUAGAGAAAACUGAUAAAAUUAGGGGAGGGGAGGAUGGGGAAGGAUUUCACCUUGCUUUGUUCCCUUGAGGAAAGUUCUGUUCCUUCUGAAGCAUCAGGAGAGGCAGUAUGGCCUAGUGGAUAGAGCUGGUCUCAAAACUACAGAGACCUGGAUUCAAAUUCUACCUAUAUGAUCUCAUGGUGAAGGAGAUUAGAGGUGAUGACUCCCUUGUGAGCUGAAAGACAUCAGGAGAGUGAGUGAGAUGCCACCAGACAUGGGACUGGAGUCUGUGCUAAGGUGUGCAGCCUAUUGGUCUAGCUCUGAGGCCCAGGGGAAUGAGAAUCCACCUUUAGGACCUAGCCUAGCAGUAGCAGAGACAAAGGCUAAGCUGCAUUUGGACAUGAACUUAGUGGGACCAAUGGUA